rnacentral:rRNA from 1 species
AACGUAGGGGACAAGCGUUAUCCGGAUUUACUGGGCGUAAAGGGCUCGUAGGUGGCCAACUAAGUCAGACGUGAAAUCCCUCGGCUUAACCGGGGAACUGCGUCUGAUACUGGAUGGCUCGAGUUUGGGAGAGGGAUGCGGAAUUCCAGGUGUAGCGGUGAAAUGCGUAGAUAUCUGGAGGAACACCGGUGGCGAAGGCGGCAUCCUGGACCGGCAUUGACGCUGAGGCGCGAAAGCCAGGGGAGCAAACGGG